rnacentral:rRNA from 1 species
CAGUUCGGAUCGGAGUCUACAACCCGACUCCGUGAAGCUGGAUUCGCUAGUAAUCGCGCAUCAGCCAUGGCGCGGUGAAUACGUUCCCGGGCCUUGUACACACCGCCCGUCAAGCCAUGGGAGCCGGGAGUGCCUGAAGGCCGUGACCGCAAGGAGCGGCCUAAGGUAAAACUGGUGACUGGGGCUAAGUCGUAACAAGGUAGC